rnacentral:rRNA from 1 species
UACGUAGGGGGCAAGCGUUGUCCGGAAUCAUUGGGCGUAAAGCGCGUGUAGGCGGUCCGGUAAGUCCGCUGUGAAAGUCGGGGGCUCAACCCUCGGAUGCCGGUGGAUACUGUCGGGCUUGAGUACGGAAGAGGCGAGUGGAAUUCCUGGUGUAGCGGUGAAAUGCGCGGAUAUCAGGAGGAACACCAAUUGCGAAGGCAGCUCGCUGGGACGUUACUGACGCUGAGACGCGAAAGCGUGGGGAGCAAACAGG